CUACGGGACGCUCCAGUGGGGAAUAUUGCACAAUGGGCGCAAGCCUGAUGCAGCCAUGCCGCGUGUAUGAAGAAGGCCUUCGGGUUGUAAAGUACUUUCAGCGGGGAGGAAGGGAGUAAAGUUAAUACCUUUGCUCAUUGACGUUACCCGCAGAAGAAGCACCGGCUAACUCCGUGCCAGCAGCCGCGGUAAUACGGAGAGUGCAAGCGUUAAUCGGAAUUACUGGGCGUAAAGCGCACGCAGGCGGUUUGUUAAGUCAGAUGUGAAAUCCCCGGGCUCAACCUGGGAACUGCAUCUGAUACUGGCAAGCUUGAGUCUCGUAGAGGGGAGUAGAAUUCCAGGUGUAGCGGUGAAAUGCGUAGAGAUCUGGAGGAAUACCGGUGGCGAAGGCGGCCCCCUGGACGAAGACUGACGCUCAGGUGCGAAAGCGUGGGGAGCAAACAGGAUUAGAUACCCCCGUAGUC
rnacentral:rRNA from 1 species